AGCACCGAGUGUUGAACCAGAGGGGUCAUCAAUCCCCGUCAUUGAGGCUGUUAUGAAUAUGGAUGCUGCAGCUCCUCUUACAAAGAAACGUGGUCGGGGACCAGCAAGAUGCACAGAAUUUGACAAAAUUCGUAAAUAUGGAAAAAUACAUUUGGAUAUUAAGGAUGGCCAACGAGGAGUAUCCUGUGAACAUGCAGCACUCUUCACAGCAAGAGUCACACAUAUUGUCAGACUAUAUGCAAAUAUGGCACAUGCAAGCUAGAGUCGUGUGGAUAAGAAAGAGAAGGAUGAACUAAUAGAUCGUGUCCGGGUUGAUUUUGAAUUGGAUUGGACUAAAAGCAACCAUCAGGAGACGGUUACAAUGGCACUUGCUCAAAAGUAUAAUGAUUUCCAUUACCUACUACACCGCACGUAC